GGGUAGGGCCAGGAUAAGCGUCGUUGGGGCAGGUCCUGGGUAGAGUCCAGGUUGGCGGGUCCUGGGGCGGAGUCAGGAUAGGGCGAUCCUGGAAGCUGGGCUUCAGAAGCGUCCAGGGGCCUUACAGGUGCACGCUUCGGUCCUGGAGGCCUUAUCCUAACCUCUCCAUCAGCGCCACCCGUCUGGGGCCCGAAAGGAGGGAGCUUUCCCUCUGUCCUCCAGCCUUUGGACUGUCUCCAAACAAGCCAUUCGUUCACCAAAUACUUAUUAAGCACCUACCAUGUGCCUGACAAGGGAGAUGUAACGCUGGGGAAACUGAGUUACAGAGCUUUUCUGCACUGAGUCAUCAGGAGCAAAUGCUAGAUCAGAUAGGGUCUCUCUCUCUGCCACCCAGGCCAGAGUGCAGUUGACGCAGGGCAGGGGAGCCCCGAAGUGGAGCAUAGUGUGUCCGGAACUGGUGGGUUCUUGGUCUCACUGACUUCAAGAAUGAAGCCGUGGACCCUCACGGUUCAAGCGAUUCUCCUGCCUCAGCCUCCAGAGUAGCUGGAACUACAGAUGCGCACCACCACGCCCAGGCUGUGCUUCUCAGUGGCUCCCACCAGAUACCUGAUGGUCCUGUCGAUUUGCUGAAUCAUCAACUUCCUAUUCUCUGCCUCUGGCCUGAAUCGAUGUCCCACGUUAUCUGGCUCUCUGUAACACAGAGUCACAAAGUCAAAGUCUUCCUUGGUGAACCAGUUCAUGACAGUAUCGAUGUUCGCACUCCGCUCUGUCUCGUUGCUGUUUGGAGACAGGGUUUCACCAUGUUGGCCAGGCUUGUCUUGAACUCCUGACGUCGUGAUCUGCCUGCUUUGGCCUCCCAAAGUCCUGGGAUUACAGGCAUGAGCCACCGUACCCAGCCACUCUUGAUUAACUUAAUGGAAAUAUUUACAGAGAUUCUUUCUCUUCUGGGUUCUAGCGUCUUAUCUGUAACCUCUGCAGGGGAGUCACUGAGCAGAACGAAGCGAGUUGCCUGAGAUUCUUCAAAGCCCCAGCCCUUUUGGAGGUUACAUUGUUAUUCUCAGAGCCUUUAUGAUGCAUAAUAAAGACCUAGCUUGUACC
ensembl:lncRNA LINC02018 long intergenic non-protein coding RNA 2018